AACGAACGCUGGCGGCAUGCCUAACACAUGCAAGUCGAACGAGACCUUCGGGUCUAGUGGCGCACGGGUGCGUAACGCGUGGGAACCUGCCCUUAGGUUCGGAAUAACUCCCCGAAAGGGGUGCUAAUACCGGAUAAUGUCUUCGGACCAAAGAUUUAUCGCCUUUGGGUGGGCCCGCGUUGGAUUAGCUAGUUGGUAGGGUAAAAGCCUACCAAGGCGACGAUCCAUAGCUGGUCUGAGAGGAUGAUCAGCCACACUGGGACUGAGACACGGCCCAGACUCCUACGGGAGGCAGCAGUGGGGAAUAUUGGACAAUGGGCGAAAGCCUGAUCCAGCAGUGCCGCGUGAGUGAUGAAGGCCUUAGGGUUGUAAAGCUCUUUUACCCGGGAUGAUAAUGACAGUACCGGGAGAAUAAGCGCCGGCUAACUCCGUG
rnacentral:rRNA from 1 species